AACGAACGCUGGCGGCAUGCCUAACACAUGCAAGUCGAACGAGACCUUCGGGUCUAGUGGCGCACGGGUGCGUAACGCGUGGGAACCUGCCCUUAGGUUCGGAAUAACUCCCCGAAAGGGGUGCUAAUACCGGAUAAUGUCUUCGGACCAAAGAUUUAUCGCCUUUGGAUGGGCCCGCGUUGGAUUAGCUAGUUGGUAGGGUAAAAGCCUACCAAGGCGACGAUCCAUAGCUGGUCUGAGAGGAUGAUCAGCCACACUGGGACUGAGACACAGCCCAGACUCCUACGGGAGGCAGCAGUGGGGAAUAUUGGACAAUGGGCGAAAGCCUGAUCCAGCAAUGCCGCGUGAGUGAUGAAGGCCUUAGGGUUGUAAAGCUCUUUUACCCGGGAUGAUAUGACAGUACCGGGAGAAUAAGCUCCGGCUAACUCCGUG
rnacentral:rRNA from 1 species